rnacentral:rRNA from 1 species
AGAGUUUGAUCAUGGCUCAGGAUGAACGCUGGCGGCGUGCUUAACACAUGCAAGUCGAACGGAAAGGCCCAAGCUUGCUUGGGUACUCGAGUGGCAAACGGGUGAGUAACACGUGGGUGAUCUGCCCUGCACUUCGGGAUAAGCCUGGGAAACUGGGUCUAAUACCGGAUAGGACGAUGGUUUGGAUGCCGUUGUGGAAAGUUUUUUCGGUGUGGGAUGAGCUCGCGGCCUAUCAGCUUGUUGGUGGGGUAAUGGCCUACCAAGGCGUCGACGGGUAGCCGGCCUGAGAGGGUGUACGGCCACAUUGGGACUGAGAUACGGCCCAGACUCCUACGGGAGGCAGCAGUGGGGAAUAUUGCACAAUGGGCGCAAGCCUGAUGCAGCGACGCCGCGUGGGGGAUGACGGCCUUCGGGUUGUAAACUCCUUUCGCUAGGGACGAAGCGUUAUGUGACGGUACCUGGAGAAGAAGCACCGGCUAACUACGUGCCAGCAGCCGCGGUAAUACGUAGGGUGCGAGCGUUGUCCGGAAUUACUGGGCGUAAAGAGCUCGUAGGUGGUUUGUCGCGUCGUUUGUGUAAGCCCGCAGCUUAACUGCGGGACUGCAGGCGAUACGGGCAUAACUUGAGUGCUGUAGGGGAGACUGGAAUUCCUGGUGUAGCGGUGGAAUGCGCAG